AGAGAGAGAGAGAGAGAGAGAGAGAGAGAGAGAGAGAGAGAGAGAGAGAGAGAGAGAGCACAUACUUGGUCAUCCCAAGCUUUGUCCUUGUUGUAGAUCACAGCAGCUCCAAAACUUCUAGCAGGGUUGAUACCAGUUCCAGUGAUUGGGAUGGUGGCCAGG